rnacentral:lncRNA from 1 species
UUUUUUUUUUUUUUUUUUUUUUAGGGCAUGGUCCUAUUUUUUUUAAGACAAAGUGGUCAUCGGUUCUAAUAAAGUAUAUGUCUAACGUUCGUAACAGGUGAAAGUGAUGUUUUACUUAAAGUCCAUGAUGGUGGGGUAAUUGUGGGGGAAAAUAUCAAAAAAUAUGUCGGUGGAUGUGUUGAGAGUUUGGGUGCAUGUAAUGCUGAAAUAAUGAUCUUUACAGUUCCUGAGAAAGAUGUAAAUAUGAUUCUUAGAGCUCUCGAGAAUAAAAGGGAUGUUAAUAACAGUAUAUGGUUGUUCAGAAGCCAAAGGAAAAAGGACUAAGGAAACUAUACUUGUUUAAUGCUAAAUAAUGUUUUACUUCAUUUCUUAUUUACGGGUGGCCAUGUAUAUGCAUCUUUUGCAGGCUCAUGAACCGAAAAAUGCCACCAGAGAGUGACCGCAAGGACUCUAAUGCAGCUUCUCCAGAUGUUGCUGAAGAAGUUGAAGUCUAAAGGGAAUUUAAUUUUAGUUAGAAACUUCUAUUGUAGUUAUAAACCUCUAACAUAUGUUUAUGGCCUUAUAACUCGCCAUAGUUAUGUAUAUUUUUGGCAGCUUUUAACUAAUAUUUUGGUGGCAUACUGAUAGGGUGCAUUUUGUUAGUGAUUUUGUGAAUAUUUUCGGGUUUAUUUCUGAAGUAACCUUCUUUGGAAAAAAUUUUCCCAGUAUGAUGCUCUUUUAUAAAUUGUUACCAUUUUAAUCUUUUUUAUGCCAUGUAAGCUACCAUUUUAAAUGGAGGAAGAUCUCACUUAAAUGAAUCCCCUCAUUGUAGUAAUCUUACUCAGUUCAUACGCAAAGUUCAAACACCAACAAACCAAAUCCAAAGCAAAAAUAGGUAACAAACAUAAGAUUCCACAUUUGAUUAAUGAUAAGAUAUUAUAGUUAAGAAGUAUUUAUAUUUUAAACUCUUCAAUCAUCCAAGUUCCUUAUAUCAAAAUCAAUAGGAUUUGAUAUUGGGUUUUUAGAAAUAACAUUAUCAUCUUAAUACCAAGAAUUAGAGAUCCUAAAUUUUGAUCUCUUUGUCCCCUCUUCGCUUCUUAAAUCCUACCAUUUUCUCCACUAAUUUUUUUUUAAAAGUGUUACCAAUAAAAAAUGAAAAAGAAAUACUAUAAUCUUUUUAUAAUAUUUUAGCGUUAAUCAAAUAUAGAGUCUUUUCCUAUGUUUAUUGUCUUGGUUUUUUUUUAAUUUUUCAUCCUUAAAUUUUUCUUUUUGCGUUUGCAUUUCGUGUGCGAAUGUGGAAACCAAUAAUCACGAGGUAGAAAAAAGUGAAUAAUAUUACAACAAAGGACAAUUACGUAAACAUCUUCCAAGAUUUCUGAUAAUUUCAUGUUUUGCACCUCUACAUUCAAAUAUUGUACUUACCACGCUUUUUAAGAUAUAAUAAUCUUCCCAUACUUUACAAAAAAUUCUAGUGACAAUUUUUUGAAAAAGGGAAAAAAGUAAUAAAAUGCCUGUCAAACUUGAAAAACAUAUCACCAAGAAUCUGCCUAUCAUUAAAUACUGUAUCAGUCCGGUGCUACUUCUUUCCUAUAGCUUCAAUCCACCUUUUACCUCUAUUCAAGUUUUCUUAUCCUUUCCAUAGUACAAAUCUCCAUGUCUCAAAAAUUUUGGUGUUAAUCAUGCUUUUUAAUUGACUCAUCUCUCAUUCUUUCCAUUUGUCCUCAUUUUUUCUCUAACCAAAGUUUAAUAAACAAUUGCAAACACAAAUAUACAGUUGUAAAUUUGGCCAAAGGAAUAUGGAGAAAAUGAUUUAGGCCAGAGGUGAGACUAUUUAAGACUAGGAGAAAAAUAAGAAUGUAUUCAUUGAAUAAUUUGAUUUAACUACUAAAAUUUUAGUUAUUUGUAUAAUUUGUUCCCUUACAUCAGCCAAAUAAAACCCACAACUACUAUUUAGGAAAGUUAUGCAUAAUUUUUUAGAGGUGAAGGGAGCGGGAGCUAAAUGUAAUUGUCAUAAAUCAUAGAGGAGGUUUGUGAAAUUAUCCCUCAAAACAAGAAGGAGGUUUGUUGAUACCAGAUCUCACAACAUUUAAGAUAGAAGUUUAUGUGGCAUAAAAGAUUUUAAAAAGGUAAUAAUUUAUGAAAGAGCAUCACACUCGGAAUGUUUUUUCUAACGAAGGUUACUUUAGAAAUAAAUUCAAUAUUUUUUCUCUUGAAUUGUGAUCAAAUAUUAUAUUAAUUAGUAGGUUCUACUCAUAUUUGGUUAAUAGUACGAAUUGUAGGAAUAUGGAGCAAAAAGUGGUAAAAGGAAUGAUUUUCUAGAAGAUCUACGGACAGUUUGGCGUGAGUGCGUCCAAGUCCUGCUGUCAAGUCUGGAAAACUCGAGAUUUUCCUGAGCAUGGAGGUUUUCUAGUUUGAGCCAAAUUCUAAGCCGACUUUGGAUGAAGAUUGGGAAGAUUUCUUACUUUAUUAGUUAGAGUAUUCAAUUAGGUUGCAACUGAUGUUAUCUUCUGUAGCUUUUCUUUUCCAAUUAAGGAAGAUACUUUAUUUUUAAUAAGCUACAAUUUAGGAGAUUAAAUUGGAACCUAGGACGGCUGGCUAUAUUUUGAUUAGUACUUCCAAGCGAGAGAUUGUAUUGCAUCAUAUCAUUCUUUGCUUGGAAGAAUAGGAGUUCGUAUCUUUUGCGUGGAAACAGUAGUACGACUUUUGUUCCUUCUUCUUGGCCACAUGUCCAUUGAAAUUUAUCAUACUUUUGCAUUGGAAUUUUUCUCCGUGAUGAACAACUAAAUUUUUUUUUUCUAGUCAAAGAUCAACUUGAAGAUGCAGUUCCAAACAUUUGUGAAAUCAAAAUGAUUUUUAAUUGUUUCUUUUCAUUCAUUGGUAUUUGUAUGUUUUUUUGAUAUAGUUUCUUAUGAUUAUUUGUUAUUUAAAUGUCAAGGGUCCGAUAUUUGAAUUAAUCUAAUAAUCUACUGCUGUAUUAACCAGUUAAAUCCAUAAUUAUUUAAUUGGUUAAUACUAGUAGUAACUAGUAUGAUUGAUUUCAUGUUAGAAAAACAUAUGAUCUAAGUUAAACAAACCCCCGUAGUAUGUUUAUUAGUCAGAGAAGUGUUGUUGUCCCCUUUUUUUUCAUUUGCUCUUUAUUUCUUACAUUGGGGAUAAUAUAAGAUUUAGGUGUAAGGGAGGGUUUCGGUUUGCUAGCUAAGCUCUAUUGUUUAGAAAUUUUCUUUUCUUUUCGCUAGUAGUUUUUGUUGGUUAUGAUGAAUGUAUGCAAUCAAAAUGCAAGUAUGAGUAGCAAAUUUAUGCUAGUUGAGAAUCUUAUUUUUCUUGACAAUAGAUUUGAAUGAUGAAUGUGCUGGAUUUGAUAUAUUUUUAACACUUUGCGAGUUUGUUAAGUAUUUCAUUUAUAUUUUGCUUUAUUUUUCAGUUAUUGAGUAGUUAUCAUACAUGGUUUUGUCAUUCUAAAACUUAGUCUAUUAUGCAUGUCAAGACCGUAUUUUUGUUGAAUUUGAUGCAUAAAUAUGACAAGGACACCUAGGAUUUAACCCUUUUGAACUUUCUUAAAUUUCUUGUUGAUCUUGAUCCCUAUCUUUUGAUAUUUACAAAACAAAUGGAUGAUACUAAUAUUUCUUCAAGAUAUUCUUUCAGUUAUGAAGUUAUUUGAUUCCAUGAACAAGUACAAUUGAAAGAAGACAAAGGUUGCUGAAAGCUGUCGGACGCUCAAAAAGACUACAUCGGACGUCCAACAACCAUUGAGUAUCUUCGGACGCAGAAAACCAGCCUACCGGACGUCCGAUAGAAUUGGAGAAAAUUUUUCAAACUCUCUGCCUGCUGUCGAACGCAAACAACAGGUGUACUGGACGUCCGACAUUACCAACGGCUAGUUGACUGUUCAACUACUUUCUAUCCGUUGGAAGCAUUAAUGAGGCACUUUCUUGGUCCUACAUAAAUAGUGGUUGGUCAGAUAUUUCAAACAACUUUGACACACUGAAGAUACAAAAGAUCUAGAGUGAUUUUAGUGAGAAAAUACUCUUCAAAGAAGAUUUGUAGUCUUAGUGGUGUGAGGUUCAUUGUAAACUUUUCAUUUGUGAGUGAAUACUUCAUGAGUGUAACUCUGUGAGGGUUGUCCUGAGGGAUAGUAAAACGUCCUAACUUAACCGAGUGGAGUUCGGGGCAAGGAGGAGGUGAACCUUCCUUUGUACACAAGAGUGAUUGUAAUUCAUCAACUUGAAGAAGCUUGGUUGAAUUAAUCUAUAAGCUCAAGAGGAGUUAUGUGGUUAAUUGGUUUGCAAUUCUUUCCUUUUUAUUUACUUUUUGUUACGUUUGUGAUCUUUACAUUGUUUAUUUCUUCCAUUUAGUUGUCUUCGAUCCUUACAAUUGAUAUCAGAGCUUGGUCUCCUUGAGAUUAAUCUCAAUCGGCUUAGGAGUAAAUAUGACAACUAAUAAUGCUAUAUUUUUUGAAGGACAUUCUGUCAUUAGACCACCUAUGUUUAAUGGGUCAAAUUAUGUGAGUUGGAAAGAAAGAAUGAUUAUCUUUUUGCAAUCUAUUGAUAUUGAAUUGUGGUUUAUUAUUAGCGAAGGUCCAUAUGAUGCCUCUCUUAUAGAUAAAAAUACUCAGAACUCUAGACCAAAAAUAAGAAGUGAACUGAUUGCUGCGGAUAGAGCUCAUCUCACAUUAAAUGCAAAAGCCAUGAAUGUGUUAUAUUGUACUUUACACUCAAAUGAAUCUAUUAGAGUCAAAGGCUGCAAGUCAGCCAAGAAAAUUUGGGAUAAACUAAGAGAAAUUCAUGAAGGUAGUGAGAAUGUUAGAGAACAAAAGAAAUCCAUUCUAGUUACAAAGUAUGAAUCCUUCAAGAUGCAACCUCAUGAAAACAUUGAUGAGAUGUAUUGUAGAUUCAAUGACCUCAUUAAGGAUUUGGAGGUGCUGGAAAAAGAAUACUCUCUAGGUGAGAAAAACAGAAAAAUUCUGAAUGCUUUAUCGAAAGAUUGGGAGAAUAAAGUGUCUGCCAUUGAGGAAACCAAAGAUCUAAAUACCUUGCCUAUUGAAUCUCUCAUUAAUUCAUUGAUUUCUUAUGAGCUAAAACUUAAGUCCAAGGUGCAGGAAGAAUAAGACACAAAAGUGAGAAAGAAUAUUGCUCUGAAGGUUUCACAAGAUGAAGAUGAUACAGCCUCCGUGAGUGAAGAUGACAUGGAAGGUGAUGAUAGUGAUAUUGCACUCAUCACACGAGGUUUCAAAAGAAUACUCAACAAGAGGAGAUUCAGAAAAGGUGGAUCUAGCAACUCCUUCCCGAAUCAGUCCAACAACUUGAGAAACAAAGGGAAGCUAGAGUUCAACAAAAAGCAAACUGAUAAGUGCUUUGAAUGCGGCCAACCUGGACACUAUGCAAGUGAGUGUCCAGUGAUGAAGAAGAAAGAAUGAAGAAAACCAAGAUUCAACAAAUUUCAAUUCACAUGGAAUGAGUGCAACUCCGAUGGUGAAAUUGAAGAGGAUGAAGAAUCUGUUCAAUUGGCUUUUAUGGCUAUUGGAGAUGACGAGGUAACAUCUUGUAACUCUCAAUUUGAAAGUGAUGAUGAAACUGAUGAUGAUCUUGAAUCGUUCAUUAUAAAAUUGCAUGAUAGCUUGAAAGAAUCCUAUGCUAGAAACAAGGAGUUAAAACAAAAAAUUAAUUUUUUUACUUCAAGAUAAUGCAAAUCUUUUUCAACAAAAUAAAAAGUUGAAAGUUGAAAAUGAUUACUUCAAAAAGAGUGAGACUGCUUUACACUUUGAACUUGAUAGAAAAACAAAGCUUUGUGAAUUGUUCAAAGAGGAACAAGGUGAUUUGAAAAGAAGAAUGGAUGGUUUAAAUGAGUUGCUUAAACACAAAAAACAAGUCUAUUUUCAAAAGAAUAGGUUGAAUUCUAAUUCCAACGAAUUUGCUAUUUAUAAGAGAAGACAAGUAAGAUUUAUUAAACCUGUUCAUGUAAACAACUCCUUGAUAAUGUGUAAUUUCUGUUGUCAAAAAGGUCACAUGAAAAGUGAUUGCUAUGUGAGAAAAAAUAUAAAAAAGGCAUGAAAUGUAUGUGGAUAGUUAGACAUGAUGCUAACAAGUAGGAAAUAUUGAUAAGUUUGAUGAGAUUCUUGUUCAUAAUACUCUUUUAUAAUUUUCUUUUGAUGUUUCUGAUAUUUUGAACUGAGUUUUUCUUGAUAUUUUUGAAUAUUACUGAAGUUUUAUGAUGACAAAAAGGGGGAGAAAUGGAUGCUAUGUGUAAGGGGGAGUUAUUCUGAGAUUAUGAGUUUGGCUCUUAAAAGUUUUGGAUGCGAUAAUUGAGGGGGAGCUUAUACUUAUUUUUGUUUCUUUCCAUCCAUUGUUUUGUCAUCAUCAAAAAGGGCGAGAAUGUUGAUCUUGAUCCCUAUCUUUUGAUGUUUACAAAACAAAUGGAUGAUACUAAUAUUUUUUCAAGAUAUUCUUUCAGUUAUGAAAUUAUUUGAUUCCAUGAACAAGUACAAUUGAAAGAAGACAAAGGUUGCUGAAAGCUGUCGGACGCUCAAAAAAACUGCAUCGGACGUCCGACAACCAUUGAGUAUUUUCGGACGCAGAAAACCAGCCUACCGGACGUCCUAAGGAAUUGAAAAAAAAAUUCUCAGUUUUACAUCAUACCUUCGGACGCAGAAAACUAGCCUACCGGACGGAUGUCCGAUAGAAUUGAAGAAAAUUUCUCAAAUUCUCUGCCUGCUGUCAGACGCAAAAAAUAGGUGUACCAGACGUCCAACACUACCAACGGCUAGUUGACUGUUCAGCUGCUUUCUAUCCGUUGGAAGCAUUAAUGAGGCACUUUUUUGGUCCUACAUAAAUAGUGGUUGGUCAGAUAUUUCAAACAAUUUUGACACACUGAAGAUACAAAAGAUCUAGAGUGAUUUUAGUGAGAAAAUACUCUUCAAAGAAGAUUUGUAGACUUAGUGGUGUGAGGUUCAUUGUAAGCUUUUCAUUUGUGAGUGAAUACUUCAUGAGUGUAACUCUAUGAGGAUUGUCCUGAGGGAUAGUAAAACGUCCUAACUUGACCGAGUAGAGUUCGGGGCAAGGAGGAGGUGAACCUUCCUUUGUACACAAGAGUGAUUGUAAUUCAUCAACUUGAAGAAACUUGGUUGAAUUAAUCUACAAGCUCAAGAGGAGCUGUGUGGUUAAUUGGUUUGCAAUUCUUUCCUUUUUAUUUACUUUUUGUUACGUUUGUGAUCUUUACAUUGUUUAUUUCUUCCAUUUGGUUGUCUUCGAUCCUUACAUUCCUGCCCUUACUUUAUUGACCAUUAGUGAGCCGCAUUUGAGCUGCUAACCCUUUCUUUGUUAAAAAAUCAUAAUUGUUACCUAAGACCCUUUGUUUUAGACUAUCUUGUUGAAUCUUGUAUCGAAAAGUUGCCUUAAUUUUACUACAUAGAGACUUGAUAUGUUGAAACAAGGCAAUGUAUAGAAGCUAGCAAGUGUUGAUGAACGAAAUUUAUUUUGAGAUGUUUAUGUUUAUGUUUAUGUUAAACAAAAAAAAAGAAAAAUAUAUUUUGUAAAGUGGUUUUAGGCUGAUUGAAAGGUUGUGAUCAUUGAUGAAAACCCAUAAAUGUGCCGACACUUGCUAAGUUGGUGAAAAAUUGGUGAUAUGCCUUGGGAAGUAAAUUGUUGUGAAUUUGGUACUUGGACUUGUGCAAUAACUUUUUGAUGUUCUCUUUGAUAUGUUUACACCUUAAAUCUACCUUUUUAUCCUAUCCCUUGCCCAAAUCCUCGUAAUAACCUUAUAAAAGUCCAUUGGAUUCUAGUAUUGAAUUCACUAUUAGUAAUGAAGAUGUGAUAUAUGAGUAAAUCUAUCGUAAUGCCAUUCCAUGGUGUCAAAUUGAGAGUUGUAUUCUACCUUAUACACUUUGGAGUAAUGAGUACGUAUGUUAAACUCCUUGUGAGGAUUAUUGAAUUUGGUGCAUUCAAAUUUUAAAUAAAGUUGUGAAAAGGAUACGAUGUUUAUACUGCUAUGAUUUGCUAUGAAAUUCUUACUCUCUUGAUUGUAUUUCUUAGCAUGGAUAUGUUUGAGGACAAGCAUAGUUUAGGUGAUGCGAACUCGAUCCAGAUCUGUCUUGAAGAUCCAAGUCGAUCAGGCAGCGAAAAGAUCUAUCUUAACCAGGUUAUGGAAUAAUAACUACCGUGCUAGACCUAAAGAGUACCCAUCGCUAAAAACCUAGUGAAUUGGUUAUUGACUUGAAAGAACAAAAUGAUGUGAUCAUUUUAUCUUGAACACCACAAGCUAAAUACUUGAUACAUUUCAAAAAGGACCUCACAUUCCAUCAAAGAAUGAUAGGGUGCAAAUUUGCUAUUUAAUUUAUGAUUAUUUCCCUAUUAUUGGGUAGAUUUUACUUAUAUUUGGUAUUUGGUACAAAUUGUAGGGAGGUAGAGCAAAAAGUGAUAAAAUGGGUGAUUUUACAAGAAUUGUUGUCGAGUCCAGAGAAGUUGGGAUUUACGUGGUAGUUUCCCAAUUCAAGUCAAAGUCAUAAGGAGCAGGUUUCCAAAUACAAUUGGAAAAUGAUUUAGAUUAUUAGGGAAUUAUCUUUUUCUUAGGAAAAUUAGGAAGUUUCGUUUACUUUGAAAGCUACAAACUAGGAAACGAGUUGCGGCUACUAUUAGUACAUGUGAAUGGCUACGGCUUUGCUAUCUCUUAGUUUUUUUAGUUUCUUGAUUAGUCUCAGCACCAAGGAAGGACGAAGAGUUUUCCCCUUCGUCUUGUCUUUUCUUUUGCUCUCUCUAUUGUGGAACCUCAGGCAACUUUCGUCAAUGAAAUUGCCUGAAUUAUUCUAUUUGGAAAGCAACUAAUCCCUUUUUCAAAUCAAAGGCCAACUUGAAGAUGCGGUUCUAAGCACUUGUGAAAUCGAAUUCUUUUCUAUCUCUUUCUUUUAAUUCAUGGGUAUUUGUACGUUUUCUGAUUUAAUUUUUUAUGAUUAUUUUGUUAUUUGAAUAACAAGGGCCCAAUAUUCGAAUUAACCUAAUAAUUUACUGCCAUAUUAAUUGAUUAAAUCUACAAUUGUUUGAUUGAUUAAUACCAGUGGUGACUAGCGUGAUUGGUCCCAUGCUAGGAAAAUGUAUGAUCUAACUAAAACAAACCCUCGUAACUUGUUUAUUGGUUAGGGUUGCUUUUCUAGAUUUUAAUGCAAUCGGGGAAUUAAAUCCUAUAGUCGUACCUAUGGUUGUUUCUUGGUUAGGGAAAUAGUUAACGAUUGUACCUUGACUAUCGAUAAAUUAAGGGAAAAUUGGCUGCCAGAGCUUGUUAAUAGUUAUAACUAAUCUAUUGACGAGUAAUUGAAUUAUCCUUGCAUCAAUGAUCAGUUGUAUGGGCCGUGUUUGAAAAGUUGCACUUUUAACUAGAGUUGUGUCUCCUUUGAUUUACUUCUUAUUUAUUUUUGUGAAUUGUUCUUUUCUUAGUUAGCUAAUUAGUUAUCUUGAAUUCACCAAAAAUACCUAUUUAUGCUUUUGAAGGAAAUAAAUCACCCAGUCUCUGAGGAGACGACCCUACUCACCACUAUACUUAAAUUUUUAUCUUUCUUGAGUAGGUUUUUACUAUUGCACAGGCUCGACAUCUGUCAAGAAACUCCAUAAAAAGAGAACGACUCACUUUUAUUAAUUCAUCUCUCAAAAGUUUAUUACUUUGCUGUUAAAAACGUUGCAAAGGGCUAUAUUUAUAGUCUUAUAAGUCAGAUAACCUAACUCAACUUGGAAAAAACUAAACCAGACACAAUUUCCUAACUAAACAUGAAAACCCUAUUUCUGCGCUAACUUGAGACAUAACUUGGCCUAUUAUUUCACUACUAACUAAUGACUAAAUUAUCACUAAAAUAAUAUAAAAUAACAUAAUGACUCAAGACUUAAACAUCAACAUAAUUCCGACAUUAAAUAUGACUCCUCCACCACUUGAAUGAGAUGAACGUGCUUCCAAUCUUCAUUCUCAAGUCCCCAAAUAUGUUUUGGGACAAUUUCUUAACUUCAAACCAUGUGAACCAAAAGACUUCAUGCUUGUUAGAUGUGCCCACGUCUAACUCAAUUUGAUGGAUCUCAUGCUCACAUCCAAUUUGUUGAUCAUCAAGUCAAGUGUCGUUUCCUUUAAUUGUUAGUUCAGUUUAGCUUUACAAUUGUUACUGUCAUUAUUUUGUUAGCAAAUUUCCAGAUUAGUCCGUGAUUAGUUUGGUAGUUAUAUAUGUCAUUAGUUUGAGUCGUUUGGCUAAAAGGUCAUGUGACCAUUAGUAAGCCAUGUUGGCCGAAUUAAGAGUAAAUUUUAUUUAAUAGUUAAUAUUUAUUUAAUUGAGUUCUACUUUGAUUAGGAGUCGGGUCGUAUAAAAGGCUAUAUAUAUGCCUUAGUUAGUAAAGUUUUACAUAAGUGAAUAAGAAUUUGAGAAAUUUUUUAAAUUUCUUUCUUGUGAGAAAGAGCUCUUUUUGGCUUGUGAGAGUCGUCUUUGAACAUCUUAGAGUUGGCCUAAGAUACUUCGUCGACUUAUCGAUCAAGUAUUCACCUUGAUUGUGGCAUCGUUCUACCUAUUCUAACCAUUCUUGAGUGAUCCAAGAUUGAUUACGAAUUCUAUCCCAAAUGUUGAUCCUUAAUCUAGGUCCAGGGCUCGUGGUUCACGUUAUUGAUUCAUCUUGGCAUUUUGAGAAUCGUAUCAUUAGGUGUGGGGAAGAUUGACAGGGUGCAUUUUGUUAGUGAUUUUGUGAAUAUUUUUCCCUUAAAUUCUGACCAAAUAUUGUAUUAAUUGGUAGAUUCCAGUCAUAUUUGGUUAAUGAUGCUAAUUGUAGAAAUAUGGAGCAAAAAGUGAUAAAAGGAGUUAUUUUCCAGAAGAUCUGCGCAUAGUUUGGCAUGGGUGCAUCCAAGUCCUGCUGUCAAGUCCGGAAAAACUUGAGAUUUUCCUGCAUGUGGAGGUUUCCUAGUUUGAGUCAAAUUAUGAGCGGACUUUGGCUGAAGAUUGGGAAGAUUUCUUUCUUUAUUAGUUAGGGUAUUCAAUUAGGAAACAACUUAUAUUAUCUUUUAUAGUUUUCUUUACCAAUUAGGAAAGAUACUUUAUUUUUAAUAGGCUACAAUUUAGGAGAUUAAAUAGGAACCCGGAACGGCUGGCUAUACUUUGAUUAGUACUUCCAAGCGAGAGAUUGUAUUGCAUCAUAUCUUUCUUUGCUUGGAAGAAUAGGAGUUCGUAUCUUUUGCUUGGAAACAGGAGUACGACUUUUGUUCCUUCUUCUUGGCCGCGUGUCCAUUGAAAUUUAUCAUACUUUUGCGUUGGAAUUUUUCUCCAUAAUGAACAACUAAAUUUCCUUUUCUAGUCAAAAGUCAACUUGAAAACACAGUUCCAAACAUCUACGAGAUUAAAUUGAUUUUUAAUUAUUUCUUUUAAUUCAUUGGUAUUCGUACAUUUUCCAGUUUAAUUUCUUAUGAUUAUGUUGUUAUUUGAAUGUCAAGAGCCCAAUAUUUAAAUUAACCUAAUAAUCUACUGCUAUAUUAACCAGUUAAAUCCGUAAUUAUUUGAUUGGUUAAUACUAAUAGUUACUAGCGUGAUUGGUUUCAUAUUAGGAAAACGUAUAAUCUAAGUUAAACAAACUCUGAUAGCAUAUUUGUUGGUUAGGGUUGGACUUUUCUAGUUGUUAAUACAAUCGAGAAAUUAAAUCCUACAAUCGUACCUAGGGUUAUUUCUUGGUUAGGAUAAUAGUUAACGGUCAUACCUUGAUUAUCGAUAAAGUAAGGAAAAGUUGGCUGUCAAAACUUGUUGAUGGCUCUAACCAAUCUAUUAAUGAAUAAUUGAACUAUUUUUCCAUCGAUGAUCAGUUGUAUGAACCGUAUCUGAAAAGUUACACCUUUGACUGGAGUUGUGUCUAUUAUUGAUUAAUUUCUAUUUAUUUUCGUGAAUUAUUUUUUAUUAAUUAGUUAAUUAGUUAAUUUCUAAUUUUUCAAAAAAUCCCCUAUAAUUCUCACUCUAAGAAGAAACAAAUUUCCUUCAAUUCCUAUAGAGACGAUCCUGCUCAUCGCUAUACGUAAAUUUUUAUUUUUCUUGAGUAGGUUUUAUUAUUGCAUAGGCUCGACACCUGUCACAUAUAAAUUUGUAUUCUGAUAACCAAAAUUAUAUGGGUAAAAAAAUGGAUUAGGUAGUACAGGAGAGAGAAUGUAAGUGAGAGGUUCCAGAUUCGAGAUCUCCUAGUUAAACUAAAAAUAAAAUAUUAUGCAUUGCAAAAUUAUAUACCAAUUUAGUGAUGAAUAAAUUAUAUACUAAGUUUGGAGGCGAUGCAAGUAUUCUUUAUAAUUGUUGUUGAAUGUUUUAAUUUGGAAACAUUGUGUGUUUGGCUGUUGUUUGGGAAUGCUUGUAUUACCGGACAAAUAUUACCCAAAUUUCUCCAAAAAAAAAUGUUGUCCCAUCAAAACUCUUUUUAAUGAUGCUAACAAGGGGUGUAAUGUGAUGCGACGGCUGAGAGCAUGAUCCGAACUGAAUGGCAGCGGGCUGAGCGAACUGAGAAGGAACGAACUGGUACCAGCGAGGUGACCGAACUGAUCUGCACAGGGAUGAACAACGAGACUAGUUCCCCAUUGUGACUCCGACGAUCAAGUCAGUAAUAGCUAAGAGUAGAGCAACAGUAUUGACUACUGUAGAUGGUGUAACUUGUCUUGUCUUGUUGUGCUAUGCUUAUAGGGCUCUUGGCAAUAGUUUCCUUAUAGGAUUGUGAGACCUACCAGAGAGGGAUUCCUCUUAGGAUUCCCCUUCUUUCACUAGUAAGUUCCCUCUUCCUUUCUUUUAUGUCUUCUUCUAAGCAGUCUAACAUUACUUGUUUAGCCCCUAAGCUUAGGAUAGCUCGACCUAUUCCCGUAGAGAUCAUUUCAUCCUCUUCUCCUUCUAGUUCCUCUUCCCCUAGUACCUCAGGGUCUGAGUACAUCCCCUCCCCAAAUUCAUCCUUCUGUCCUAACCAUGAACCAGCCCAACCAGUCGGUUCAGCCUACAACAGGAAUUGUCCCCUAGGCAGCUCCAGUUUAGGCUGCGGCUCGGACUUCCGGAGGGUCCGACGUUAGGGAGGCUGAUGUGAUCCCCUCCGUCUUGGAUCAAAAGAACGUAGACGAACUAGUGGGGAAAUACGAAAUCCCCCUCCAAUUCGAGGCUAGGGCUGCCCGACCUGGGGAGGUUGCUUACCGACCUCCUCCUGGGUUCGUGGCUAUAUAUAAGGAACAGCUCAUUACUGGUCUCCACCUUCCUAUUCCCAAUUUCCUCUUUGAAAUCCUCACUUUCUGGGGUAUCCGAAUAAUCCAGCUCAUCCCAAACGUAGUUCGUUCCAUCCUCGGCUUCUUCAUGUUAUGCUGAAUUCUUGAUAUCUCCUAUUCUCUAAGCCUGUUCCGAGCUGUCUUCCAAAUGAAGGUCAAUGGUCACGUACCAGGAUGGUUUAACUUUGCUCGCAGGAGCGGGGUAAAACACCCAACCCGCGAGCUGUUCGCGGGUACACCUUCCAUUCGGAACUGGAAGUUCCAGUUCUUCUGUGUGAAGAACAUAGGUCUCCCUCCCUCGACCUAGAAGGUCGAGACCCAGGUCUCCAAUCCACUUCCCUCACCGUUCCCUGAGUCCGAGCUAGGGCGUCUACUUAGUUCGGACACGUGAAGGAGUUUAACAACUCCCAGCUAUGGGCUGCCGGCCUGUUCUAAUCUAGGAUAUUUGUUCCUUCUCAUGAAAACAGGCCUCUCACUCCAGACAAGCUGGACACUCAUAAAUUCAUGUUACCUUCUUUCUUUGCGCGAACUCCCCGUUUCUGUUCGUACUGACCAAUCAUUUUCCUUUCUUGCAGUAAAGAGGUUUUCGCAGCUGCUAAACCUUGGCGGAGCGGGCAGCUCGAGCACUCCCACUCUUAUGCCCUCCGUGGCACCAGCCAGCUCGGUCCUUCCAUUUCCCCUACCAGUGCCUGUUCGACAGGCCCCAGCUCAGUCACCUCCUGGCGAAGAGCGAGAAAAGAAGAAACGUAAGAAGUCCACAGCCAAGAGGGCACGAACAGAAGUUUCUUUUUUGCAGUUCAGGCGGGGGGGGUCUGCACCUACUCCUCCCUAAUUCGGUCAGUAUGGGGUGAAUUCUGCGGAGUAGCGGGCAUCCUCAGAGUCACCACCGACCAUGUGACGACACAGGAACGUAGUCCUCCUGAAGCAGCUGGCCAAGCUGAGCUCGCACCCCCACCCAAUACACUUUUGUCCAAAGUGGGGUGGUCGAUUAACGGCGGAGCUCAGUUCCUUGAGAUAGCUCAAGAACUCCUCCGAGGUGCAGUGCUCCCUCGGGACUACAACUUUAUUUGAGUCGCGCCUGCUUCCGAAUUGCUCCAGCACUAUUAUUUGAGUACGGCACAGGUCGGUCCUGAACUACCCUUUUUGUUUACUUUAUUUCAAUUGAGCUGCUCGGUCUACUCACUGCGUGCUUACAUGCAGUUGAAUGUAGCCGGUUCCGAGCUGCCGAGAAGGUACGAGAACAUGGGCGAGACCCUGUCCCAGGUCGGGACGGCCAAGGACAAGCUGUCCAACCAGUUUGAUGCAGCUGAGGCGAAGAUAGAAUCUCUGAAGAAGCAGCUCACUGAGGUCAACACUAACUACGAGCUGAAGCAAAAGAAAAAUGCCGACAUGACUACUCAACUAAAGGUCGAACAAAAAAGGUCGUCUGAGCUGGCCGGUUAGGUCAAGGCUGCUCGAGAUGAGGGUCGUUAGCUCGGUGUUCAGGAGUUCAAGAGGUUAGAGGACUUCUUGAAUGACCUGCCUAUCCUGAACACCCCAGUCCUGCAGAUCGGAUAUACACGGGCUAUGGACGAUGUGCAGGCCUUGAACCUGUCUGGCUUCGACAUUGGGAGAUGGCACAGCUACAAUCCUCACGUGCUCGAGCAUGUAGAUUGGCUGGUCGACGGGUAUGCGUGCGGGCUCAAGCUGCCCGACCUCAUGGCUGACCCCUCCUUGCUUAUGACUACUCCCGAAGCCGAAUCAGAAGACCAAGGGGAGAAUUAGACAAGGUCUAGCACAGGACAUAGGUAGAAUACCAAACUGAGCAUAGUCAGUUCGUUCUUGUAUAACCUCCCCCUUGUAAAUUGGCUUUUGAAUGAAUGAAUCUUUAUUUCAACACUUAGCAAAAUUUUCCAUUUAUGUCUUUCUUGUCAUAAUGUCUGAAUACACUUGUGCGAAUAGAAUCCUAACUUAUUCACGCUCGAACAGAAGACUUGGGAAAACUAGUAUUCCUAUUCGAACAGACUUGAGCAAGCCGGUGGUCAACUCGAAAAGACUUGUACGAACUGACUUUUAACUUAAGCAAAACAGUUUGGACCAUACAUGAACAAAGUGAAUAAGUUCUAACGGAAAAGUCUCAAAUUGGAAUUAUGCCAUGUUUGCGGGACUUCUUCUCCAUUAAGGUGAGCUAACCUGCAGUAGCCUACCCGAUCUGCCUCCUUUACCACAUAGAGACCUUUCCAGUUCGGAUCUAACUUGCUCGUUCCCAAGACCUGACUUACUGAAUUUUUUCAUAGAACCAGAUCCCCUGACUUGAAGGAGAGGUGUCUUGCCCUGGCGUUAUAGUGUCGCGCAACCUGCCCCUUAUACUUGGCUAUUCUUAUGAAUGCUUCUUCCCUCUUCUGUUCGAGCAGGUCCAAGUUGAACCGCAUCUUACCUUCAUUUCCCUGGGCUAUGAAGUUCUGCACCCUGCCUGAUGGUAAGCCAAUGUUUGCCGGAAUAACCGCUUCUGCCCCAUAAGUUAAAACAAAUAGAGUUUCUUGGGUGGCAGUUCGAGGUGUAGUUUGGUAAGUCCAGAAUAUGCUAGGCAGUUCGUCCAUCCAUCCAAUUCGUAUAGACCCUAUUCGAGUCUUUAACCGUUGCAGGAUAGUUCUGUUGACAUUUUUCACCUGACCAUUAGCUUGAGAGUGUCCCACGAAAGUGAAGUGCUGCUGAAUCCUGAGCUCGGCGCACCAAUUUCGGAAGGAAUUUUCGGCGAACUGGCGACCGUUAUCUGAGACCAGAGCUCAUGGUAGGCCAAAUCGGCAAACUAUGUUCCUCCAAAAGAACUUCUGGACCGACCUACUGGUAAUGGUAUUGAGUGGUUCAGUUUCAACCCACUUAAUGAAGUAAUCCAUUGCCACCACCAGGUACUCGUAAUGUGAGGGCCCGAAUUUUCAAUUUAACUUACUUUUAUUUCAUUUUACUGGUUUAUUUAAUUAUUUAUUUAUCCGUUUAUUCUAAAUAAUUUAUUUCAUUCAUUUUAAAUUCAUUUAUAUGGGACAGUGCCUCAUUUACAUUUUUAAAAUGUUUCGUUAGCGAAUUUCAUUUUUCUGUGGAUCGUUUAGCGAGAAAUAGUAAAUGCACGUUUUUCGAGAAAAAUUUUGUCCGAGAGUGCAAUAAUCUUGAAAAAUUAAGAAUGAUCAAUAGUAGACUAAGAAAAGUUAAUUGAGAGAUUAGAUGUGAAUGAGUUAAGUUAAGCUCAAUUAGGAGCACUAAUGGCUCACUAAUCAAUCGUUGACUUUUAGGGCCAAGAGCACCUUUAUGUCAUUUCUCUUGUCACUCAAUCUAGUCACCCAACUACCACACAAACACUCUCUUUCUUUCCUCUCCAUGGCCGGCCCUUCCUUUCCUCAUUUCCCCUCAAAAAAUUUCAGCUUGCUUCUUCCAUUGUUGCUCCAAGAAAGCUCUCUACACUUGCUUCUUGUCUUGGGUCUUCAUAUAAGUUUGGAAGAGGAUUUGAUCAAGGAAGAAACUUGGUGAUUUAGAAGCUCAAAUCCUAGUGUUUAAUCUUCUUUUGGCAGCAAGAUAAUCAUCCAAUAAAUCCUCAACUUUUCCUCUUCAAUUCAUAGUAGUAAGUUAGUAGUUAGUUAGUAAUAGCAAGAUAGUUGUUGGGUUGUUGAUGGAUUCACAAGAAUCUUGACAUUAGGUAGUGAACUUGAGGUGACUUGAUAGGUAGAGGUCUUGAGAUAUGGUGUUACUUGAGGUGACUUGUGUGUUUAUUGCUUGUUUGUUACUUGCUUUGAUGAGAUAUGGUGUAGUUUGAGUUGGAAAAUUUGGAAAGAAUGAUAGAAGAAUGAAAGUGCAUGCUAUCUGAUUUUUGUCCUGUUGAAACCUUCAUGUUAAUUUUGAAUUUUGAUGUUAUUUUGGUGCAAUAAUACUUGAUACAUGUUGGUGGUUAUGUGUAUGAAAUAUCUCCAAAAAAGCUUUCCAUUUGGUUGUGUUAAAGUGGAUAAAAGUGAGGAAGAAAUCUGGAAUAUUUUUGAUCAUGUGGCACCAACUAGUGUUCACAUUUUUCGUCAUAACUUUCUAUCUGGGAGUUGAAAUUGAGUACCGUUUGUGGCAUCCAAAACUAGAUUCUGAGAGCUUUCCAUCGGUAUAAAAUAUAUCUCCUAACUCAUUUCCUAUGAGCCGUAUUGAACCGGCAAAGAUGACUAAAAUUCUUCACUGCUUGCAUCCGAGAAAUAGUCCUAAUUGCAGUUUGUAGCUCAAUUUUGCCUAUCGUGCAAACUAAAUUUUAAGACAGUUCCUUCUAGUGAAUUAUAUUAUUUUGAAUCUAGUUUUCAAACCCAUAAACCACACUAAAUUUUGAGUUCUGUAGCUCUAGUUAUGAUCGAAUUUUGAAACGCUGUCAAGCAUUCAAAAUUGGAAAUUUUGAAAACAGGUUCCAAAAUUCAGUUUUCUUAAAACCAUUGUAUCUUGAUGUAGGAAGGUCCGAAUUGAGUUCUGUUUCUUGCUUUUGAAAUUAAAUUUAGAACUCUAUUAGUGGUAUAAAUUUCAAAGACUGGUUCCACUUCUACGAAUUUUGCCGAAUUUCCAAACUUCACUGAAUUUGCAAGUCUGUUUUGCUCUAUCCUGUCUAGAACAGUGAAUUUGAACUAAAAUUUGAAUGCUUUUGAAUUGGAGUCUAAGAAAAGUUCUUCUAGAAAUUUUUAGUGCUUUGAGUCUAGUUUCCAACGGUAUAAAGGUUUCAAUUUUUGGACUUACGAAAUUCGAGAUACAAUUUUUUCUAGCGCCGCUCUAACCUGGAAAUUUUCUGUUUCAAACAAAUACUCCUUUUAAGAACUUUUCACCUUCCUUUGCAAUUGUUAGACUGUUUUAGGUGUAAUUUCGUGGUUGAAUACAUGGUUCCUUUGGAAUUUUAAACUUUCAUUUCAAAUCUUGGUUUCUGAAAGUUAAACCUCUCUUGAUGCAUUUUCUUGGUCAUAUAACUCCCUUGAUUUAUAGCACCUCUCUUCAUACUUGAAUUAGGGACUUCAACCCCUAUUCUUAUGGCCUCAAUUUCCAUGAGUUUGAACUCUAAAAAGGAAGCAUUUUAACUAUAGUAGUUCUUAGUGAAUUGCACUAGUUUUAUACUUGAACCUUGGAAGCUUAACCUUGACUUUUACUAUGAAAAUAAGUGGAGUUUUGGAUCUGUUUGACUCCAUUAGUUUGAAAAAUAUGAACGCUCUUUGUAUUUUAAAGUUGGAUAUGAGAUUUGAAACUUUUGGAAAAUGAAAACCAUUUACCCUUUUUUCUCGAUUUCGUGCCGAAAGUGAAAAUGGUACCUUCUUUUGGAAUUGAGAUUUAUUUAUCACGACUUGAAUCAAAAAAACGACCUUUGAGCUGUCUUUGAGCAUUAUUCCAAUGUUUUAGCUAGAAAAUUUUAUUUAACUUGACUCGAACUUGUGAUUUUGAGAGUGGGUAGCGAGAAAAUAUCUUUCUUAUUAAUCUUGGUCGAGCACCUAGGUAUUUGUGAUUAUACAUGUCUUAGGUGGUCACGAAAACGCAGAAGAGCUCGUCUGACUACUCGCUUCACUCUUGUUUUGCCCUUGACUUGUGGUAAGUGUCAAAUGCAUGUUAAAUGCUGAUGUGAUUUAAAUGUUAUUUGUACAAGUGCUAUACAUGAUACGUGAAUUUGCCGAGACAAGGGUGUACUUUAUCGCCCUUGUCCUCUCUCUCUUCUAAUUAUAUGAUACUUGUUACAUUAAUAUAUAUGACUUAUGCUUGUACAUGAACCUGUUUAACUCGUGAGUUCUGAGCGGAAGCGUGUACCACACCCUAUUCGGGUGGGAGGUGCCUCUCAUACCGACUCAGUGCUAUAAUUGGUUCUCUGAACGGAAGUAUGUACCAUACCAAUUCGGGUGGGAGGUGCCUCUCAUACCGAUUCAAAACCAUAAAUAAUUCUGAGUCAAUUUGAGCGAUGUCUCAUCAACCACUUAUACUUUUGGGGGGCACCCCAACCCAUUGGCUAAUCGCGUAACUUAAACCAGCAACGGUUUGGUCGAGAAGUUUGGUGAAUCUUGAAAAAUAUUAUAACUUGAUCUUUUAAGAUCUCACUAGGAAUACUCGAAUAGUAUCGUCUCUUUAUACGUGUUUGGUUCCGAAUCCAAGUGGGUGUAAGUUGGAUGGAGGAAGUAAGCGAAGCACUACGGUCGUGUUACUAUUUAGGUUAACGGAGGGUCAAACCCCGAUGGCCCAACUUGAUCGGAAUAUGGAAAUAGCUCCUGAGAACUCCUGUAUCCUUAUUGUGUGUUAAUUCCUACUUGUGCACUCAAAUGAAAUGUCAUGUUUAAAAGUUGUUUAAAGCAUAUUAUUUGAUUUAUUGUGGUAAUUGCUUGCCUGUUUAUUUUCUUGGCCUUACUGAGCGUUCGCUCAUCCCAUUAAGUUUGUUUUCCUUAACAGGUUUUGGAAGUGGAUUGGUGGUUCUAGACUAGCGAUCUGGUGGAUGCUAGUAUACCUUUUGUAUGAACUUUUAAUGGCUCUUUAAGUGUAAUUUUUGUUAUUGUUGGAGGGUAGAUUGUAAUCGUAACUUUUAGCUUUGAAGUUAUGGCUUGUAUGUUCGAAAUACUUUUAUUUAAGUCGAUGGUUGUUUUGGUGGUUCUAUAUUAAAUUUGAACGAGUACAUGAGUCCCGACGAGAGUUGGACAAGCGUUCCACUGAUACCGUAGGGUUCACCCUAGGAAAAGGUGGGGCGUCACACGUAACCUCCUGGAGCUCGAAAAAACGAGCCAAGCAGGUCUAUUCCCCAUUGAAAAAAUGGCUACGGGCUCUGAAGGGGAACCAUCUCCUGAGUUGGAGCGUGAUGAACUGGUGCGUGCAAUUGCAUAACCUGUAUUUAGCCACCAGUUCGGCUAAAUCUCGGAAGAUGGUAGGCCAGUAGUACCCGAACAGCAUUCCUUUUUUUGCCAGAACCCGUAGGGCAGCAUGACUUCCGCAGAUGUCAUCAUUUAUUUCGUAUAGGAUGUAGUCCUCCUCCUCAGGCGUCACACUCCUCAGCCACGGAUGUAGGUAUGAUUUUCUUUAUAGUACUUCAUCCGUGAGCGCAUACUUCUAUGACAUGAGGAGGAUUUUCGAGCCUCUACGUUGUUCGAGGGGAGCUCUCCGUUAACUAAGUACUGCACGAUUGGGUCUAUCCAUGAGUUCACUACUUAGAUCACUGUUGUGUCCAGCUGUUCAUAUGCCCGCCUUUUGACGACUUCUACCAAUACUUUCUUGUUUAACGUGCCAAACGAAGUGGAGGCCAGCUUGGAAAGGGCGUCGGCUCUUUUAUUCCGACUCCGAGGAACCUAUUCGAGCAUGAACCACUGGAACAGACUUCUCAAUUCAUACGCCUUGGCGACGUAUCUCUUUAGCGGCUCUUCUUUAACUUCGUAAUUCCCUAAGACCUGGUUCAGUAUUUGCUGCGAGUUGCUGUAGUCCCUUAUCGAUUCAACCCCCAAUUUUUUGAGUCACUUUCAUUCUCUUAAUCAGAGCCUCAUAUUCAGACUUAUUAUUGGAGGCUCUGAAGUCGAAUCUCAAGGCAUAAGCUAGCUCUUCCCUCAUGGGGCUAAUUAGGAGGAACCCGACUCCGCACCAUUCAUUACUUAAAGCUCUGUCGAUAUACAACGUCCAGGUUGGGAUGGCCUGUUCGGCCGCCUCUUUGGCCUGUUCGGCUUCGGCCUGUUCAGUACCAACCCGUCCUGUUGUCUGUUUGGCCCCUUAUAGUCCAAAUGAGAUACCUUCCGCUAUGAAAUCAGCCAGUGCCUGGGUCUUGAUGGUUGUCCGGGGCUGGAAAUCAAGGUCAUAUUCAGACAGUUCUAAAACCCACUUGACCAUCCUCCCUGACAUAUCAGGUCUGAACAAGAUCUGCUUCAAAGGCUGGUCGGUCACCACCACGAUAGGAUGAGUCUGGAAGUAUGGCAUAAGAUUCGUGCUGCGUGAACUAGCGUUAGGAGAUAUUAUUCCACCGCGGAAUACCUGAUCUCAGCCCCUUGCAGAGCACGGCUGACGUAGUACACCAGCUUCUGGAUUGUCUUCCUCCCGAACUAACACCACGCUGACUGCCUUCUCUCCCACAGUUAAGUAGAUGAACAGAGUUUCGCCAUGACCGGGAGAAGUUAAGGUCGGCAACUUGGCGAUAUGAGUUUUCAGUUCGUCAAAUGCUUUUUGGCACUCAAAGAUUCACUCGAAUUGGGGACCUCUUCUUAGGGCCUUAAAGAAGGGGAAACCCCGAACUGCCGAUUUCGAUAGGAACUUGUUCAAGGUUGCCAUCCUACCUGCUAGUCCUGUACUUUCUUGAUAUUUUUGAGAGGAGUCAUAUCCAUGAUGGCCUUUACUUUGUCAGAGUUGGCUCUUACUCCGUCUUUGAAUAUCAUGUGUCUUAGGAAUUUGCCCGACCUGAUCCCGAAAGUGUAUUUCUUAGGGUUCAACAGCAUUUGCAAUCUCCGAAGGACGUCGAAUAUUUCUCUCAGGUACGUGAUGAACUGAUCUUAAAUUCUGCUCUUCACCAGUAUGUCAUCCACGUAGACCUCCAUAUUUCGGCUUAUUUGAUCCUUGAACUGUUCAUCAACCUUUGAUAUGUCGCACCCGCGUUCUUUAAUCCGAAUGGCAUAGUGACAUAGUAAUAGGUACCGUACUCGGUGAUGAAUGAGGUUUUCUCCUGAUCUUCCUCAUCCAUGACUAUUUAGUGGUACCCUUUAAAGGCAUCUAAGAAACAGAAGAUCUCAUAUCCCGUAGUUGAGUCCACGAAUAGGUCUAUUUGGGAAAGAGGGUAGCAAUCCAUUGGGUAAGCUUUAUUCAGGUUGGUGAAGUCUACACACAUUCUCCAGCCCUUGUCAUCCUUUUUUACCAACACAAGGUUGGCCAGUCAGGUCGGGUAGUAGACCUCUUUCAUGAUCUUUGCCUCUAACAGCUUGCCUACCUCUUCCUUGACGACCUCAUUCCGCUCAGGCACAAAGGUCCUCUUCUUUUGCUUCACAGGCCGGAUGCUAGGAUCUACGUCCAGCUUGUGAACUGCCAGUUAGGGCGGAACCCAGGGCAUAUCGUCUGCACUCCAAGCGAAGAUUUCUACAUAUUCUGCCAGAAGGGAUUCUAACACCUUUUUGGUCAGUUUGCUCAAGCAUGAGCCGGUUCUGACCACACGAUCUGGUCAUUCUUUGCUGACCGAGAGUUCGAGCAAACCUUCAUCCGUCUCUAGUCUUUUUUUUUCUCUGCUGGCUCCCAAGGCUCUAAGUAGGCCACUUGAGCUACCAGCUUCUCCUUGCACUUGAGAGUUGCGAUAUUGCAGGCCCGAGUUACCUCUGGAUCCCCUAGCACCUCAGCUACUCUCGCUGGCGUGGGAAAUUUCAUCCUAAGGUGCAGAGUUGAGCAAACAGCUCAAAGUGCGUUCAGGGUAGGCCGCCCCAGGAUCAUAUUAUACGGCGAUGGCUCUUUCACCGCCGCGAAGUUCACCGGGAUAGUUCAGAUUUCGGUGACACUCCCACCAUGACCAUAAGAGUUAUCAUUCCCUCAGAUUUUACCGGUGGACCUACGAAACCAAUUAAGGGAGUUCAGAUUGGGAUGAGCUGCUUGUCUUCCAGUUGCAACUCUUUAAAAGUCUUGUAGUAUAGCACGUCAAUGGCGCUCAUAUUAUCGACAAAUACCUUCUUCACUUUGUAGUUGCACAUUAUGACCUCUAUCACGAUGGCCUCAUGGUUGUUAGAGGCGAGAGAAACUGUGUCAUCAAGUCCAUAGAUGAUUUCUUCGUACAUCUUCAGCCACUUGCUCGGAUUCUCUCCACUAGCGAGUGGGCGGUUGUUCCGUCGAGCUGCAUGACUGUCACCUCCGACAGGUCCUUCUGCUAUGGUAUUUAUUACUCCCGCCAAGUUUUGGGUAUCCUGUUCAAGAGUUUGGUCUUUGCGACCUUGGGGUCGAUCUCGAGAAUAGUUCAUACCUUUUCGUUUGUACUCUCUUCGUCUCUGUUCAGUUCGUCCGUUCCGUAUGAACUGUUUCAGGUGUUCUCGUUUGAUCAGCUCUUCAAUGUCUUUCUUGAGGUCCCGACAGUUCUCGGUAUCAUGUCCUACGUCCCGAUGAUAAGCACAAUACAAGUUUUGAUCCCUUCUACUUUUAUUAUCAACCAACUUUCUAGGAGUUCGUGAGAGACCUUCCUGCUCCAUCACGGCGAGAACCGGAGCCUUGGGUGUUAUAAGGGGAGUCCAUCCCCUCUCUCCUUCAAAGGCCCUGCUCUUUGGCAGACGAUCCAGCGUAUUCUUUCGCGGCUGACCAGGUCGCGUAUCCCCCUGAUCCGUGUUCUUUCUUCACCUUUCGUCCCUCAGUCUUUCCUACGCGGUCUUCAAGCGAUUGGCUUCUUCUGCAUUAGCUUUCUCGUGAGCUCAGUCCAGCAUUUUUCGAACUAACUUGGCAGGUUUUUCAAUGAACUCGGUGUAUAGUUUUUGCACGCGCAAUCCAUUGAUGAAGGCGGCCAUGACAACUUUGUCGUCCCGAUUUCGGACCUGGAGAGACUCGUUGUUGAACCGCAUCAUGUAUUCACGCAAUGACUCCUCAGGCCUUUGCUGAACGGUCAUCAGGUGAGCAUUGCUCUUAGAGAAGGCUCUCGACGAAACGAACUGAGCUGCGAACAGGCGCGCGAGCUGACUAAAGGAUCGGAUUGACCUAGAGGGCAACCCUUGGAACUAUUGGCGUGCCUUUCCUUCCAAGAACGUGGGGAAGGUUUUACGUUUGACCUCGUCGGCAGCCGUUUGUAAGCGCAUGUGGGUUAGAAACGCGAAUAUAUGAUCUUCCGGAUCCGUAGUCGCGUCGUAGGAUUUCAUAGUAGGGAUUUUGAACUUAGCAGGCAGAGGGUAGUUCUCGAUGUCCGGUAUAAAGGGAGAGAAGGAAUCCUUGUCCGUCUCCGGAUCUAACAACAGAUCCAGUUCAUCUCGUAUCGGGCACUCCUCUCUCCUCAGUGAGUACUCCCUUCGAGGAAUUCUCUGAAAGGACUCAAGGUGACCUGUUCGAGAGUUCCAGUGGGAAGGCUCCAGAACUUCUAUCUAUUCACGCAAGGACUCCUUCCGUGCCCGCUUUUGUCGAGGGCCGAGGCUUCCCGUUUGAGAUUCUGAAGGCUCCAAUCUUCCCACCUUCUUGCCCCUAGGCUCCGGGUCUUGCAGGUCUUCAGUCCGACCCUUCAAGUAGUUCACAAUAGCCUCGAAAGUAGGCAGAUUGUUUGCCACCGUUUGCACCAGUUGUUCAGGCUGGAUCCGCGAGAGCUCCGUCCCCUCGUCACCAAGAGUUGGUCCAUGAUAGGGAUUUUGGGGGUUGUUUCGCUCGUUCCCCUUGGAUUCAUCAGCGUUUCUCUGAGAUCUAGUCCUCGGCAUAUUUCGCAAAGGAGAAAUUGCGUUUUCCACAGACAAUGCCAAUUGAUGCGACGGCUGAAAGCACGAUUCAAACUGAGUAGUAGCAGGCUGAGUGAACUGAGAAGGAACGAACUGGUACCAGCGAGAUGAGCGAACUGACCUGCAUGGGGAUGAACAGCGGGACUAGUUCCCCGUUGUGACUCCGACGAUCAAGUCAGUAAUAGCUAAGAGUGGAGCAACAGUAUUGAUUACUGUAGAUGGUGUACCUUGUGUUUGUCUUGUUGUGCUAUACUUAUAGGGCUCUUGGCAAUAGUUUCCUUAUAGGAUUAUGAGCCCUACCAGAGAGGAAUUCCUCUUAGGGCUCCGUUUGCAUGCUCUGAAAGGUUCGGGAGCUGCAGCCCACUAGGCCCAUUCCGCUGGGAGGCGGUGGCUUUGCCCGACUGGCCUUUCCUAAGGCCCGAGCUGACUCACGCGAAUUGAUAUGUCGCUUGUCCAAACUGACACGUGGCCAUGGCGGUUUGGCCCCACUACAGAAUGUAACCUUCCUUUUUUACCUCUCUAUCCACAAGAAAAUUUUGUAUCGUUGAUGACUCAACCCAAAAGAGAUUAUAUUGGCUAGAAUAUUAUAGUUAAGGGACUAAAUUAGUCCCAAUUAAACUUUAGGGACUUGCAGUUUUUGUUAAAUAGUUUACGGACCAUUCUGGUCUUUUGCUCUUCUUUCAAAUCCAGAAUUGUGUUCUCGGUAGUCAUGGCUCACAUGAUCCAACACAAAUUGGUUGUCUUUUUACGUAUCCUUAGUAGUAGUAAUCUGCUGGCACAAUUAAGAAUUAAUUUUCAUUAUUUGAACACAUUGUUUACAUAUUACUUUCUUUGAUUGAUCAAAAUCCACGCCAAGAAUUAUGAACCGACGCACAAGUAUUUCCUUUGGGUGUUUCUGUGCUUUUUCUUUUUCGAUCAUGACCUUAAGUUAUCAUCUUUUGAUUGCUAGGGCACUAGCAAGUUAUAUAGGUGAUACAUGACUUAAUUGUAUUAUUUAUUUUGUCAAUUUUGGUGCCAUGCCUGUGGAUGCUUGGUGUUAUGGCCAUGAAUGAGGAAGAAUAUAUUAAGUGAUUAGGUUUCUUGUGACAUCUCAGUAGCAUGUUUAAUUCUUGGUCUUUUGUCCAAUGUAAUAUAGGAGCAUAUGAUUUUGCUUAAGUACUCCAAUCCCAUGGUUGUAACUUCUUGGUGCGUGGCACAAUGUUGAAUUCUACAAUUGUUGAGGUUUACUACAAGUUUUAAUUUGAAGUCAUUUAGAACUGGUUUGGAUGAAAUUUUCAAGUUAUUAAAGUAAACGAAAAAAAACUAAGUCAUAAUUUGCUUUGCAGUUUAAUCAAAUUUUUUCUGCGUUUUAAAUAAUUGACAUGUUGACAAUGAAGUAGCGCAGCCUAACUCGUAAGACGCUUCACCAGUAACUAAUAGGUCACAGGUUUGAGUCAUCAAGGGCCAUGAGUGGGAAGCCCCUGUUGAUCCUCUUGAAUACAAAAAAAAAAUUUAAAUAAAAAGAUAAUUGGAAUGUCUUGAUGCGGGAGAAUUGCAAUUUUAGUUCCUAAUGUUUGGCAUGUGUGCCAAAUUGAUUCUUAAUGUUUCGGCCAAACAAAUCUAGUCUCCAAAAUUUGUAAUUUUAGGUAAAUUUAACACACUUAGAAAAAAUGGAACAAUGAAUAAUGGUCAAUAUCAAAUUAUCAUUAGUCAACAACUUUGAUAUUGCACUUUUGAUCCAUAAUAUUUUGAUUUUAAAUAAUUAUAUUUUCUUUAUUUUUAAAUAGUGAUAUUAAGGGUUUUAGCAUAAAUUGAGAUGCAAAUUAGAAUGAAAUAGCAUUAAAUGGGUAAUAAUAAUUCUAAUUAAACUUCUUUUUCUUCUUUUUAUUUUAUUUCGUUAUUUAUGCUAAUAAUAUAUCAUUUUUAUUAUUUUGCAUAAUGAGUCCCAAAUAAUUAAUUGACAAUGAGUUUUAUUAUUUUUAUUCUAAUAAUAAUUUAAAAGAUUAAUUAAAUAUGCCUUUAAAAUACGAGGAAUAUAUAUUUUUUGUAAAUUAAUUUGAGUUUUUUUGGCAUUUUAAUAGGUUAUUAAUUGAAUUUGAAUGGAGUUGGUAUUUCAUACAUAUUAUAUGAAUCUCUAAAUGAUUAUCAAAAUACAUAGAUAUUAAAAUAAAUGCAUUAAGACUACAAUAUUAGAAUGUUAGUUUUUCAAUUGGUAGGAAAGAUAACAAAAUAAAAGAUUUUUUUAAAGAAUUCCUAAAACUACUUCACAUUGAUACUUACCUUCACUAGUUUUAUAAGUACAAUUGCUAACUACAAGAAUUUGAAGCGUACAUACACAAGAUAUACAACAAAUUUUGUAGUAGUAAUUAUAAUAAACUUGGAUUAUAAAAUUUGCUUUCUCCUUUUCUUUUUCUACUUCAUGUUUUAUUUAUUAUUGGUAUAUUAUCAUCCAUUUAUAACUUAUUUAAUAAAGAUAUGCUAUCUAAGUUAUGAUUAUGUUGUGCCAAUAUAAAGUGUUUUAAUUAAUAGUGAGAAACAGUAAUAUACACAUAUCAUAUCAAAUUUGAGACUAACUAUCUAAAAGAAAAGAAACAUAUGAUAUAUUAUUAGUGUGAAUAAAUGACAUAAAUAUUAAAAAAGGAGAAAAAGAAGUUUAACUAGAAUUCUUGUUACUCAUUUAAUAUUAUUGGGUAAAAUACACGGAACCCCCCUAUGGUUUCGCAAAAAGACACGGAACCCCCCUAUCGUUUAGAAACAUACACAUAAACGCCCUAAACUUCAUAACUAAAGUGGAAAUAGACUUCUUAACCGGCUGAGUUACCGGCUGCAGGUCGAAUACCCAAAAUACCCUCAUUUAUAAUAGAGAGGGAGAGAGAAUGAGCAACUGACUCUUUUCUCGUUCAUCCUGUGUAAGAAAAAAAACCCUAAGACAAGGGAUUUGUAUACUAAAUUGUUGCUGAAAUAGCGUGAAUCUGAGUUGAAAAAGCCGUGGCUGCAUUCGAUCGCAAAGAAGGGAGUGACAGAUUGGUGGUUGUAUCUGAUCGUGAAGCUGCAUUCGAUCGCGAAGAAGGGAAAGACAGAUUGGUGAGGAAAUCUGAUCGUGAAGCUUGUUCGACAUUUCUAGGUAAGAAUCAGAACUUAUUGUUCAAUAUUCAGUCCAUUUAAUGUUUAGGAUUUGUAAUCAUUUUCCAAUUUGUUUAUUCCUUUUCCACAUUACCCCACAUUACCCCAUAUCUGUCAUUUUUAUAGUUGGUGGCCCAUAUUUAGGUGAUUUAUCAGAGAAAAUGGGGUUUAAAAAUGUAAAGAUCUUAACUUUUUUAGCUUUUUUUUGGAGAAUGUGGGUCUUUUUUGGAGUAUGUGGUUGAUGUCAGGAGGAAAUAAUAUGUGUCGGGUUUGGAUUUGACUACAAAUCAGAUUUCACUUAAUAAUCUGAUUGUUGUUAUAACUAAUUGUUGUUAUAAUCUGAAAGUGUGAUGUAGCUUAAUAUAGUUUAUUAAUCUAUAUUUGAAUUCUAAAAGUGUUGAUUAAAUAAUUUAGGUUGGGGACCAUGUCAGAUCCUUUUAGGACAGUGGAUAUCCACAUGCACUAUGGUGGGCGGUUUAUACAUCAUCCCAAUAUUAGGUAUACAAGUGAUUUAGUGAGAGUGUUUCACAAUUGCGACCCUGAUGAGUUAUCAACAUUUUCAUUAUUCAACCUGUACUCCAAAAUUGAAAAAGAAGCGGCAUGUGCAAAAUUUUGGUAUUCCAUUCCAGACCAUGAUGUGGAUGUAGGUGUUAUACCAAUAAAUGAUGACGUGGACAUAGAAUUGUUGACUACCUGCUAUGAAGGGCUUCCUUAUAUGCAUAUAUAUGUAGAGGCAGGUCAGACGCCUCUCAAAAUUAUCUCACCAGAUGGUAAGCUCUUAUUCGAAAGAGUGACGAAUGAUGGUCCACUUGCUUUACCGUACAAUGAAGGUUCUUCAGAGAUAAAUUCAGAUCUGACUAGAAAAGGUGCUGGAGCUUCACAAAAUCCCUUUGAACCAACUGCUGUAGAUGAUUUAGAUGGCCCAACUGCUGUAGAAACUAAUGAUGGCACACAAAAUCCCUUUGAACCAACUAAGAAAAACAGCAGAAAGGGUGGUAAAACUCCAUCGAGGAAGAGACAAACUGUGGUGCAACCUGUGAAGAGGGCAGCUAGAAAAAUUGUCAGAAAAUUAUUUCAGCAAACAACCAGAAUAGAUGCUGUCGACAGCCAGCAAGAGGUUUCUUCAAUGAAUCAAAGUAAAGAAGAAUGUGAAAAUCAAUGUAAUUUUGACAGAACCUCUGUUGAGGCCAAUCAAGUCAACAAUGAACAAUAUUGUGACUUUGACAGAACCUCUAUUGAGAAGAAUCAAGUCAACAAUGAACAGCAGCACCACAGUGAUGGAAACGAAGAACCUGAUCCGGAUUGGUUGAGAGAGGGUCUAGAAUUUGCAGAAGAUGAGGACAUCUUUGCAACUGCUGGUUCAACUGUACCUCAAACAAAUCAGCAAAUUGGUGACUUGAAUGAGCAGCAGCAACAACAUCAGCAACCACAAGGUGAGGAGUCCACAGCACAGCAUCAGCAAACUGAAGACUUGAAUAAGCAGCAGCAACAACAUGAGGAAGAACAAGGUGAGGAGUCCACAGCACAGCAUCAGCAUGGAGGAGACCAACCUAUUGGCCCUGAGGAAUGGAAUGAACCUGUGACUGCAGAUGAAGACUUUCUAUAUUCUGGUGAUGAAAAUGGGCCUGACUACUCAUAUUUCAAUGCUUCAGUGGAGUUUAACAAGCCAAAUUUUGAAUUAAAGGUUGGGAAGAAAUUCACUCAUUUUACAAAAUUUAGAGAAGCACUUGUGGAAUGGAACAUUAGAGAGGGAUAUGAAGUUUUAUAUAUCAACAAUGACAGUUGGAGGAUAACUGCCAAAUGUGCAAAAGGAUGUUCUUGGAGGAUUCAUGCAAGCAAAGUUAAUAGGACUGACACUUUUCAAAUCAAAACACUAAAGGGAGAGCACCAUUGCGGUAGAGAGUACACUAACAAGCAUGCAACCUCAACUUAUCUGAGCAGAAAGUUUCAAGAGAAGGUUCGAGAUGACCCUAAUUGCAGCUUGGAUGGCAUUAUUAAUGAUGCCAGAAGAAGAUUCAUGGUUAAUAUAAGUAGCAAAAAAGCAUACAGGACUAAGAGGAAGGCCAGGGAGGCAAUCAAAGGUUGUGAUAUGGAGCAAUAUGAACGACUGUGGGAUUAUGCUGCCACGGUUAGACAGUCAAAUCCAGACAGUCAUAUAGCUAUACAAAUAGACAGGAGGUCUAUUGAGGAAAGGGCAACAUUUCAGAGGCUGUUCUAUGGCUUGGGUGCUCUUAAAAAAGGCUUUCUUGCAGGUUGUAGACCAAUCAUUGGCCUAGAUGGUUGCUUUUUGAAGGGGCCCUUUAGCGGUCAGCUGUUAGCAGCACUUGGAAGAGAUGGAAUGACAAUAUGUUUCCCAUAGCCAUUGCCAUUGUUGAAGCAGAAAACUAUAAUAGCUGGACUUGGUUUUUGAAGGAACUGAUUACUCAUAUUGGAAGGGGCAAUGUAGUGUCUUAUACCUUCAUUUCUGACAGGCAAAAAGGACUGGUACAUGCUAUAGAGGAGCUAUUUCCUGGUGCAGAACACAGAUUUUGCCUUAAGCAUCUGUUUGAGAAUUUUAAGGCAAAGUUCAAAGACAGUGAACUGAGAGAAUUGUUUUGGGCUACUGCAUCAGCAACUAAUGGUGAUGAUUUUCAGAGAGCAUUGAAUACUUUGGAGAUAGCUCAGCCACAAAAUGGAGAGAACCUUACUGCUGCUGGUUGGUUAAAAAGGCUGCCAUAUCACUUGUGGUCUAGAGCACAUUAUGGAAUGGCUGCUAAGACUGAUAUUUCAGUCAACAAUCUGAAUGAGAGUUUCAACAACUACAUUUUAAAAGCAAGAGACGAGUCAAUUGUGACUCUUCUUGAAUUUUUCAGAAGAAAGUUAAUGCAACGAUUGACAUUGAAGAGGCAAGGCAUGGAGAAAUAUGGAGGCAGAUUGUGUCCAAACAUUGUUGAGAAGCUAGCCAAAAGUGUAGAGAAGAGCAGACAUUGUAUUGCUAUAUUUGAUGGUAUUGAAUCAUUUGAGGUUGAUGGUUUCAACAGAACCUCUGUUGUGAACUUGCAACGUAGAAGCUGUUCAUGUGGUGCAUUCCAGUUGACUGGAAUUCCAUGUGUGCAUGCUAUUUCUGCCAUUCAAAGCAUGCGGAUGAAGGUUGAAAACUAUGUCGAUGAGUGCUAUAGUAAAGAGGCAUACUUAAGGGCAUAUGCUUAUAGCAUUGGAGCUGUUCCAUCUAAAGAACACUGGAUUGAUAGUGGAAUGCAGCUGUUAAAUCCACCAUUUGUGAAGAAACAACCUGGGAGACCUAAAAAACUUAGGAGAAGAGGUCCGGAUGAACCGAGAGAUCCACAAAGAGCUUUCAAAAAGGGGUUGCCAGUAUACUGUAAGAGAUGUUUAAAAGCUGGCCAUAAUAGGAGAACUUGUAAGGAACCUCCUCAUCCCAAAUCCAAGUUGUACAAGGUACAUUUAAGUACUUGAAUUUUUCUUGCACUAUGUACUCUUGAUAAUUAUUCCAACAGUAAAUUUUUUACUCUGGUUGCAGGCUCCAGCAAGCAAUACCCAGCGAGGGGCAAGAACAGCUUCCACUUCAGCCCCAACCAGAGAAGCACCAGUGCAUCAAGCAUCUCAGCAAAGCAGCACUGCUGCAGUUACUGAUAACAACCCCAGUUCUCGAUCCAAAAGAUUUAAGAAAAAUUAGGAUCAGGAAUGUUAUUUUUAGAACUUGUGUCCAUGUAAACAAGUUGUAAUGGUAUAUAUGCUAUCUUCAGAGCAGACAUUGUAUAAUGGAUUAACAUAUUUUGUAAGUGAUGCUCUUUUUUGUAAUGACAUUAUUGGCAUUAUUGCUCUUUUUUGUAAUGCCAUAUAUUGGAUUGUGGUUAUCAUAUUAUGACUAUCUAAAUUACAGUUGGUUCAUGAGUAAACAGGUUGUAUGGUUAUUAUCUUUCUUUCAGACAGGAAUACAAAUCAUGACAAAAUUUGAAAUUUUUUCAUAAACUAAAAUCAUUACAUUAUUUGGUACAUCAUUAUACUGCCACUAACCAAACUACUAUUUUCUAUAAGCAACAAUAACUAGAGAUAAACAACAAAUAAUAAGAGACAAAAUCAUUAUCACUUUCAACAUCCCCACAGUGCCUUCAACCGUGCUCAACUUUGCAUGUAGCCCCGACAAAAUGUCACCAUUGUUCACAGCCAGCAUACCUUCAUUACUGUUCACUCUUGGAGAGAACCCAGAACUUUCGUCUAAUCUUGUUUCUGGACUUUUACUAGUACAUUCAAUGCCCAUUCCAUCCCUUCUUAGAGGAUUGCACCAUGCCCAAAAGGAGCAGGAUUGAUCUUCACAAAUGUAAUACAGCCUACCUUUUGAGGGUUUGUUGGACUCCACGAUCUUGAUUUUUGCUCUUUUCUUGCAGAAGCACCGAGACCAUUCAUACCUUAGAUCUGUCAAACCUCCUCCAAAAUUUGCAGAAGUGGACAUGACGACUUCGAUAUACUCAAAAGUAGAUCUUCUCCCUUUUUCCUUUCACUCUUUGAUAGCUUCAAAUCUAUUUUCCCCUAAUAUGUAGUGCCUUCUAUAUAGCAACUGAAGGGUAGCUUGGGAAUGAAACUCACAAUCUUUUCAAAAGAACCUCGCUGACCCAUCAUCAGUAGUUCACUCAGCCGGUUAUAGGUCUAUUUCCACUUUAGUUAUGAAAUUUAGGGCGUUUAUGUGUAUGUUUCUAAACGAUAGGGGGGUUCCGUGUAUUUUACCCAAUAUUAUUUCAUUCUAAUUUUCAUCUUAAUUCAUGUUAAAAAUUAGAAAAAUAUAAUGAUUCAAAAUCAAAACAUUGAGGAUCAAAAGUAUAAAGUCAAAGUUGUUGAUUAACGGUAAUUUGAUAUUUACCAUUAGUCAUUGUUCCAUUUUCAUUAAUUGUCCUAAAUCUCCAUAAAAUCAUAAAUUUUGGGCGCUAGAUUUGUUUUGGCCAAAAUAUUGGAAACCAAUUUGGCACGCAAACCAAACAUUAGAGACCAAAACUGCAAUUCUUCCCGAUGUAUAUGCACUAAUAAGACAUAAAGUUUGUGGAAGUCAACCUAGGAAUAUUUAUGAAAAUUCAAGUGCUCAAUUAGAUCGGAUAUUUAAUGAUAUUUUAGUCUGUCAAGAAAAAUGCCUAGAUUCCAUGUCAUCCAUGUCCACUAUAAAAUAAAUAAAUAAAUAAAAUGCCUUUAACUAGUUUGUCAUCCAGGAAGGGUACUUAGAAGUUUUUAGUUUGAAUCUUGUACCUGACAGUUGAGGGUGGGAAUGAUAUAGAGAAGGAUAAAAUGGUUGAAGAAACAUAAACUUAAGUCCAUUUACGUUACUUUAAAGUGCCAAGAUUCCUCGAGUCUUAAAUCAUAAAUAAAUACUGUCAUAUCUUUAUUUUUUUAAUAAAGUGAGAAUAGUUCAUAAAUGUUUAGUAUUUCAUUUAAUUUUCAAAUAAUUGGAAGAGGCCAGAGUUAGUAAACUUUUAUUUCUUCCCUCUAUAUAUGGCAAGAUUCACUCCUACAUCCUAGCUGAUUGACAAAUAGAGCAUUUAAUCUCAUAAUUUGUAAUUUUGUAUGCUGUUGUCGUACUGUAUACCAGGCUAACAUAUGUAUUUUAUUGUGUAAAAAUUUAUUUUCAUCUUUUGUUAUGGUAAUGAGAAUAAUAUGAAACUUGGCGUUCAAAAUCAAAAGAAUAAUAUGAAACUUGGUAUUCAUUAAUUUGGAUAGAGAAAAUUCCUAAUACCUUCAUAGUUUUUUUUUUGGAUAAAUAAGAAAGAUUUAUUAAUGAGACUAUUAGAAAUCGCCCAGCACAAUGUUUAACAAAAUCAGGAGGAGAGGUCGAUAAAGUAACAAGAAUUUGCAGAUUUUACGUAAGAAGCCCAAUACCUUCAUAGUUCAUUUGGUGAAAUUGAAAUAUUAUAGAGGCAAUUGCGAGAUUCCAACGACAUAGUUCACGAAGAGCAAAGUAAAAACAAUCAUAGUUUCCUUUCUCUCUUUCAAGUGAACAUGGCCCGUGAACUAGAAUUCAAGAACUGCGUUAAUCCAGCACUAAUUUAAAAAGCCGGGCAGUAGCCAAGCAGUCCUAGACUGCUAAAAACAUUUGGAGUCCAGUUUUGAGUUCAGAAGGCCCAUCUAUGUAUACCGAAGCUGGAGGAAUCCCCUAGGCACACGUGUCAAGGCCAAGUUGCCCUGUUCGAACUCCAUUCCCGAACUGAACUGAGGUAACAACUAUAUGUUAUCCAGAAGCGGCAACAUAAAUCCUAAACUGAGACCCCACAUGGAACCCCAAAAGCCGGUAACUUUUGGAGUCCACCCAGGAGCUUAAAACCCACACUAACCCCCCCCAAAGAACCGAUGUGGGAACCUGUGACGAGGAACCCCACAGCGGGAAGCCCAACCUAAGGCCGAACCCCCCCCAGGCUUUGAAUAGUGUGCUCUCAGGGUCUUUCAACCUCGCCGGCGGUCUUUUAUCUGUUAUCCAGAAGCGGCAACAUAAAUCCUAAACUGAGACCCCACAUGGAACCCCAAAAGCCGGUAACUUUUGGAGUCCACCCAGGAGCUUAAAACCCACACUAACCCCCCCCAAAGAACCGAUGUGGGAACCUGUGACGAGGAACCCCACAGCGGGAAGGUAACAACUAUCUUGGUGUGGGAUAACUUGUUUUUGGGAUAAGAUCAAAACUUAAGUUCAAGGAGGACUUUACUUUUAGUGACCUAGUAGGACUUAUGCUCUCGAAUGGAAUAACUACUAGGAGUAAGAGGAUAACUCUGAGUACCUUCAUAACUUAUCAUGAGAAAUCGUAUAAAUAAUGGUGGAUUGAUUAAAGAAAAGGUACAAUAUAUAAUAUAUUUAUUGUACUCUGUAUUCUCGCUGACUGACUUAAUCGUCGGAAUCAUAAAAGAGAGAUAAUCUCAUUGUUCGGCCCAUUGCAGAUCAGAUCAGUUAUACUAGCCCAGAAUUCUGCUCGGGUCAUGCUCCUUGGCAGACUCUUCAUAUACAUUACUUUGAACUUUCAUUGAUUUUGACUUACCAGGAAACAAGAAAAAAAAACACACUCACACAACAGAAAAGAAACUAAAAACGUCCUAACAAUCUAGCAAAUAAUCAUUGGAGUUGACUCACUAGCCAGAGAUGGGUUCUUAGAAUUUUUUUUCACUAUCAAGUUCAAGUUUCGAAUUCCAUAUUUGACAGUUGAGGUAAUAGUUAGAGGAGAGAAGAAGUAAAAAGGUUAAAAAAAAAAAAAAAAAAAAAAAAGGAAAGGAAACAGUUAACGGAGCAAACUAUAAAGGUGAAACUCGUAAAAAAGUGUGAAAUUUUGUAAAUUUCAACUGAGAUCUUUAAUUCCGGUUACUAUUCAUGCUGUCCCAUCUUCUCAAUCUGGUCCCAGGACGGAGACACAUGUUAUGGCAUCUAGUAAUUCAUCUGAUUUUUACAAUGUGACAACUUUUUCAUCUAAUCAAUUGAAGAUAAUCUUUGUCAUUCUUUGCUUAAUGUUGCUGAUAGAAAAUGUACGAGUUCUCGUUAUGAAGAUUUUUGUUAAAAAAUAACGACACAUGUGUACAUCUUGGGAAAAAUUCUGCAAAAAAUAACAUUUUCGUUUAUUUAGAACAUCACAAAGAGCUUGCACUAAGUACUUUAAAUGGAAUAUGCUUAUAAAUUUUCUUGUUUCAUAUAUAGUAAAUCUACCAAGAAAAGAAAUGGAGUGCUUAAGUGAUAAUCCAUCGUGGCAUGGGGGCAAACAAGACUUUAACCAGUUCAAUCAAAUUGACACUCCCAAAACAUGCAAAUGUAAUUAUUAUUUGCUGUGUAUGAAAGCGAUUCCACCCAAACGUGUUUCAAUUUACAAACAUGGCAUGUAGGAUUAAGAGCAUAUUGACUAAUUAACCCUAAAACAGGACAAAUUUUGAUCCCAAAAGAAACACCUAAUUUCGUUGUGGCUAAACCAAAACGCAUUAAGUAACAAUAACUUUAUUAACUUCAAUCAGGCCGACAAAUUAUAAAAAUGUCAUUAUACAGCCAAUUUUCUCAUGCAACUUUACAAAGAUUAUGUAAACAACCCCUUGCCAUCUAUAAACAGGAGUCGUGGGCAAGAAUCCAUAACAAAUUAUUGCAAUUCAAAUGCAAACUAGAUUGAAGGCUAUCAAAACAUGGCAGCUAAAAGAUAUCCAAGUUGUAACUUCAGUUGUUC